AAAUUGCUGACAAAUACAACUUUCUGGAUGAAUAUUCAACUGUUAACACAAAUUUAUUUAUGUGUCAUAAAUCAAGUGGAUAAAGUAAUUGUACAUUGGCAGUUCAUUCUAUUUCAGUUCAAAUAUUAUCUGUGUGAAUAUUUUCAUUGCUUUCCUCAUGUACUUCUGUCUGUAUGUUGCAAACAUGAAUGAGUUUAAUUUAAGCUAAAUAAAUAGUGCUAAAUAAAAGGAAGCCUCGAGGACUGGAUAAUCCUUGCAUGCAUUGUCGUAAUCAUUUAUUUGUGUACCUGAAUUUUAUUCAAUAAGACAAACACAGUUAUUUUAAAAUCGUAAUUGAUGACACCGUAAAUAAAUAAAAACUGAUAAAAAUUAUUAUACGUAAAUUUACCCUCAUACACUCAUAAUUACACCUGGUUUACUCAUCAUGGACCUCUUAGUUGUAUGCUUUAUUUAAAUAUUUGAGGCUGUUUACCCGCAAAUAAUAAUAACAUAAUAAUUAUUUUUGUGGAAAUAUUUGUGUGGCUUUGCUGAAUCUGAUUAGAACUUGCUUCAUCAAAAAAUUUAGUAUACAAAAGGGAAUUAAUGUUUAUUAAUACUGUGUCUUUCAUUGUAUAUUUAAGGUGGAAAUAUUUAUUAUUAUUAUUUCUUUUAUUUUAGACAUUUCUAAAAGAAAGUUUCCAUGAAGCAAGUCUUGAUCCAACAUAUUGCAAUUAUGUAGUAGGUGGAAGAAUAGCAUACCUGUGUUCUGUUCUUGUGGAAGAUACUGCUGUUGUUUUCUGUGGUCCAGGCCCAAGAAUUCUGGUGGCAGUUGAUUUAGAUUUAUGAGAUGCUGUUCCUGCUCCAACUUAUUUAAUGAAACUUAACUUCAUUCUUCCUGAGAAUGGCAUCAACUGGAAGUCGUUGGUGGCAACCAUCAGGUUUCUUUGAAGAUGCCUGCAUUAGAUGAUGACAUUUCUAUUGAUGGUUCUGAAAUCAAUGCAUUUGAGUUAUUGGAUGAUUUGAGAGCAAGGAACUUGAUCCUACAAACUGGUGGUUUGGGCCAUACUCUGAGCCACAAGAACUGUUGAAAAUUUGGCUCAGGGUGCUUUUACUGGUGGUUAAGCGUUAU
rnacentral:lncRNA from 1 species